rnacentral:rRNA from 1 species
GGGUUAGUAGAUUGGUCGUGCCAUCGGUAUGUACUGGUCUUACUGAUUCCUCCUUCCUGAUGAACCGUAAUGCCAUUAAUUUGGUGUUGCGGGGAAACUGGACUGUUACUUUGAAAAAAUUAGAGUGUUUAAAGCAGGCUAACGCUUGAAUACAUUAGCAUGGAAUAAUGAAAUAGGACGUUCGAUCCUAUUUUGUUGGUUUCUAGGAUUGACGUA